UUAUGCGAAUGUGUUCGUGUUGUGAAGUGAUCUGGCCACGUCGGUGAACGCUCUCGGUGAUGUCAGUGAUGUUCAAAUCCACCGUUGUUACCGGAAAUUGCAAAAAAAAGCAGUUCAACUUCGACAACUCGUGCGAGUACAACGGCCACACCAGCGAUCAGCGGCGGCGGGCCGCCAUGCGCGCUGGAUCGGCGGGCCCAGGAGUGCGUGCUGUAGAGCUGCGAACCUGUGCCUAUUUGGAUUAAAGUGGGAAGUCAACACUAAUAAGAACGCCACCUAUGAAAGCAGAACCCCGGGCUUUCCAUUGGAACGUUAGAGUGGACCACCGCACAGGCACGACGGUCACCUGGAGGCCCAGGAGUCAUCAGGACUAAUAACACUGAAUAUAUGUGAAUGAUACCUAAUGUGUUUGUGAUGACGGAACAACUAUGUAAAAAUGAAACACAUU